rnacentral:rRNA from 1 species
CUUGCUACAGGCUUAACACAUGCAAGUCGAGGGGCAUCAGGAAGAAAGCUUGCUUUCUUUGCUGGCGACCGGCGCACGGGUGAGUAACACGUAUCCAACCUGCCCUUUACUCGGGGAUAGCCUUUCGAAAGAAAGAUUAAUACCCGAUAGCAUAAUGAUUCCGCAUGGUUUCAUUAUUAAAGGAUUCCGGUAAAGGAUGGGGAUGCGUUCCAUUAGGUUGUUGGUGAGGUAACGGCUCACCAAGCCUUCGAUGGAUAGGGGUUCUGAGAGGAAGGUCCCCCACAUUGGAACUGAGACACGGUCCAAACUCCUACGGGAGGCAGCAGUGAGGAAUAUUGGUCAAUGGGCGCUAGCCUGAACCAGCCAAGUAGCGUGAAGGAUGAAGGCUCUAUGGGUCGUAAACUUCUUUUAUAUAAGAAUAAAGUGCAGUAUGUAUACUGUUUUGUAUGUAUUAUAUGAAUAAGGAUCGGCUAACUCCGUGCCAGCAGCCGCGGUAAUACGGAGGAUCCGAGCGUUAUCCGGAUUUAUUGGGUUUAAAGGGAGCGUAGGUGGACUGGUAAGUCAGUUGUGAAAGUUUGCGGCUCAACCGUAAAAUUGCAGUUGAUACUGUCAGUCUUGAGUACAGUAGAGGUGGGCGGAAUUCGUGGUGUAGCGGUGAAAUGCUUAGAUAUCACGAAGAACUCCGAUUGCGAAGGCAGCUCACUGGACUGCAACUGACACUGAUGCUCGAAAGUGUGGGUAUCAAACAGGAUUAGAUACCCUGGUAGUCCACACAGUAAACGAUGAAUACUCGCUGUUUGCGAUAUACAGUAAGCGGCCAAGCGAAAGCAUUAAGUAUUCCACCUGGGGAGUACGCCGGCAACGGUGAAACUCAAAGGAAUUGACGGGGGCCCGCACAAGCGGAGGAACAUGUGGUUUAAUUCGAUGAUACGCGAGGAACCUUACCCGGGCUUAAAUUGCAGUGGAAUGAUGUGGAAACAUGUCAGUGAGCAAUCACCGCUGUGAAGGUGCUGCAUGGUUGUCGUCAGCUCGUGCCGUGAGGUGUCGGCUUAAGUGCCAUAACGAGCGCAACCCUUAUCUUUAGUUACUAACAGGUUAUGCUGAGGACUCUAGAGAGACUGCCGUCGUAAGAUGUGAGGAAGGUGGGGAUGACGUCAAAUCAGCACGGCCCUUACGUCCGGGGCUACACACGUGUUACAAUGGGGGUACAGAAGGCAGCUAGCGGGUGACCGUAUGCUAAUCCCAAAAGCCUCUCUCAGUUCGGAUCGAAGUCUGCAACCCGACUUCGUGAAGCUGGAUUCGCUAGUAAUCGCGCAUCAGCCACGGCGCGGUGAAUACGUUCCCGGGCCUUGUACACACCGCCCGUCAAGCCAUGGGAGCCGGGGGUACCUGAAGUACGUAACCGCAAGGAUCGUCCUAGGGUAAAACUGGUGACUGG